CCUCUCCACCCACUGUACGUCCCCUGACCCGCCCCUCUAUUGAGUAAGACGCACCCCCUUCGUUCUUCGUUUCUCGAACUUGUUGUGCACACCCAUGGGAGAUAAGAAACACUUUGCGCAUCCAGGGUGCAGAGACCUGUGCAACUUCUAGUCUCUUAUUCUAGGACCUCUUGCCUACCAGGAGAGAUCUUUCGACUGGAGAGUAUAUUUAACUUCACUUUACAGGGUCUCGGAGCCUUUAACUAUUGUGAUAUUGCACUACAACCGUCCUGCGGAGAAACGCGACAUCCUCAGGAAAUGCCUCGAUCGUUCUUGGUACGGAGCCGCAGGGGGGGUGGUCCACGACGUUGGAGCUGUGACAAGCAGUUGGAGCAAAGUCCAGGUCCUUUGGCUAGUCCAGGCCAGGUUCAAAUCAAGUAUGAAAAAGAUCUUUCUGCAUCAAUUCCCAGUGCCCCAGAGCAGCAUCUACACUCAAUACCCACACUGAAUGAAGUCAGGCUGAGCCCAGCUUUCACCCCGGUGUGCCCUCCACUGCACAGCAGCAACUUGUUGGGGUUCAACCCUGUCGGCGGUUGCUGUUUAUCACCAAGCUCAGCCAUGCCCCUCAAUCCAGGCCUGCCUGAGCAUCAUGCGUAUGCUUGCCUGAAAUGUAGCAAGUGAUUCGGUUCAGUUCGGCUCGACAGGCACUUUGAACCUGCCGUUGCGGGCACAAAAUCUGUGAUUCAAAUCCUCUUUUAAACCUCCUUUUCGGCAUUGAAAUGAAAGAGUGGCAAUUUCAAAAUGGUAAAGCAUAAUUGUUCUGUUCCUGAAUGCAAAUCGGACUCGCAGAAAUAGAGGAAUACAUGAAAUAUCCAUGGAUGAGAUGUAUCGGGUUCAUUAUAUUUCCUGUUAGUACAUUGUAGCAUCGGCUGUCGAU
rnacentral:lncRNA from 1 species